rnacentral:rRNA from 1 species
GCAUAUCAAUAAGCGGAGGAAAAGAAACCAACAGGGAUUGCCUUAGUAGCGGCGAGUGAAGCGGCAAUAGCUCAAAUUUGAAAUCUGGCGUCUUCGGCGUCCGAGUUGUAAUUUGAAGAAGGUAUCUUUGGAGCUGGCUCUUGUCUAUGUUCCUUGGAACAGGACGUCACAGAGGGUGAGAAUCCCGUGCGAUGAGGUGUCCAGCUUCGUGUAAAGUUCCUUCGACGAGUCGAGUUGUUUGGGAAUGCAGCUCUAAGUGGGUGGUAAAUUCCAUCUAAAGCUAAAUAUUGGCGAGAGACCGAUAGCGAACAAGUACUGUGAAGGAAAGAUGAAAAGAACUUUGAAAAGAGAGUGAAAAAGUACGUGAAAUUGUUGAAAGGGAAGGGCUUGAGGUCAGACUUGGUUUACCAGGCCAGCAUCAGUUUGGAUGGCAGGAUAAUAGCAUUGGAAAGUGGCACCACUUCGGUGGUGUGUUAUAGCCUUUGUUGAUACUGCCUAUCUAGACUGAGGACUGCGUCUUUGACUAGGAUGCUGGCAUAAUGACCUUAAGCCGCCCGUCUUGAAACACGGACCAAGGAGUCUAACGUCUAUGCGAGUGUUUGGGUGUAAAACCCGUACGCGUAAUGAAAGUGAACGUAGGUGAGAGCCUUA